AAAUACCCCUCGUGGGUGACGAAUUACAUUAUACAUAUAAAUAUUUUACGAGCGCUGACUUACCCCUCUUGACGUUUUGACAGUUUGUCUGUUUGUUUUUCUCCCUCACCUUGCGACGUCGUUUCGGUUUUGCAUCGUGCAUCACGGAGAAAAUCGAAAAAGAUAAUAAUAAAUGCUGUCCAAUGAGCAGCUCGAAGUAGCUCGAAGUACAGUGACUAUAAUAACAGUGUCGUCAAGUGUCAGAAUUGGAACAGAAUCGUCUGUCAAUUCCAUACAAAUGCGCGUUCCAAACGAGCAGGAGACCUGUCAAACAUGGCACAUGGCGUUACUCUUCUUGUAGGACUCUAGCUCGAAGUUGUUCCCGUCCUGCUCGUUCUUUUUUGUCAACAAAUGGGCAUGAGCAGGACAGGGAGAAACUUCGAGCUACUUCAAGCUCUCAUUGGACAGCACUAUAAUAUAACGUUAAUGAGGCUUUCUGUUUGACGCGAGAUUUGACGGCAACCGGAGAAGGCAAUCCGCUGAAGCAGGCCACGAACAUUGGGAGUCAUUUUUUUUUCUGCUCGGCUACGCAGUGUGCAAAUUGGAACAAAGGCAAGAACAAUGGUUCGGAACAAUGCAACCAGCGAAAAACAUUUCGCCAGGAAUCUCUACUUCAAUUCGAAUCGAUUGGACGAUUGCCCUCGAGGAGGAAGAAAAUCAGCGUCCAAGAGAAUUAAAGGCCAGUCUGAUAGUAGUCGCAGCUCUACAAAGUGGAAGCAGUAUGGUGUAUGGCGGUUGAAUGCGGGGACAGUUCUGAGGAGGUGCUAAAAUCGAUUCAUCACUGCUGCAUGCUUUUUUACGGUAUAUAUAAUCUGAUAUAAAUAUCACCACAAAGUGACUUUAUCAAUACAGUGUAUAUUUAUAAAUAAAUGUGGAAGAUUUGGAAAAUUUAAUAGCUUAUUGCCGAAUUAUGCAUCACAAAGAGUGGAUAGUGAAUGAUCGUUAACAUCCUUGGGUGGAAGACCGUUUUGCGGCCGUGGAGGAUUCCGCGGACGUGGUGGUUUCCGUGGCGGUUUACAUCGUGAUGGCCCACCGCACCACGGGGACAAUGAUGAAUGGCGUCGAUCAGGAGCCGAUGGCGAAUAUGAUUUACGUCGUCGUUCUGGAUCACGUGAACCAGGAAUCGAUAGAUCUCGCUCCCGUUCACCGAGGCGACGCAGUCCGGCUGAUUCUGAUUCGUCUUCUUGUAGGCAUGGCAUGUUAUCGAAUGCAAGAAAGUUACCAGAAGAAGAUGUGCAGAAGCGCAUAUCGACGUCAUCGUCGCACGCAAUCUUCCUCGGCCUGCCGGGAUCGACGUCAUCGGUGGCAUCGUCGGAUGAUGCCAGCGUUCAGACGCGUCCACUGCGUAAUCUCGUGUCCUACCUGAAGCAGAAAGAAGCGGCCGGCGUUAUUUCCUUGUUCAAUAAAGAAACGGA